GACGGAGGGUGCUAGCGUUGUUCGGAAUUACUGGGCGUAAAGCGCGCGCAGGCGGCUAUCCAAGUCAGUGGUGAAAGCCCGGAGCUCAACUCCGGAACUGCCAUUGAAACUGUUUAGCUUGAGGAUGAGAGAGGUGAGUGGAAUUCCCAGUGUAGAGGUGAAAUUCGUAGAUAUUGGGAAGAACACCGGUGGCGAAGGCGGCUCACUGGCUCAUUACUGACGCUCAGGCGCGAUAGCGUGGGGAUCAAACAGG
rnacentral:rRNA from 1 species